rnacentral:lncRNA from 1 species
AAAGAUGUAACUGGAAAUAUAAUGCAAUGUGGAUUGUAUUACAUCAUGUAUUAACCACAAAUCAUGAAAUCAAUACCAGAGAACCAAAUAAUGUCACCACCUCUGUACUAACAACCAACAUUUUAGCAUAAGGAGUAUCACAGGAGUGUUUAAUUGCACAUCAAGAGUAUCACAAUUACAACUAAAGAGGCAUUGUCCUCACUGCUGUCCCUGAGCCCUUCACAGAGUUUCAAGCCUCGCAACUUCUUCCUCCAGCUCUGCACAUGACCCUCGGUUACGAACCUCAUCCCUCAACUAUGAUUAUUUCAAGAUGAAAUCAACAUGCUAUUUCUCUCACAUGGAACAUGUUUAGAAUUUAGUCAGUCUCGCUAAUCUUUCAGCUACAAAGGCAGAAAGAAAAAUGGCAUAAUCAAUAACUAAAAAAAAAACUGGAACAAUAAUGCUUGUAACAAUAAUGGCUAUAUUUUUAUCAUCAAAUUUCAACAAUAGAUAUCUCUCCUCCUAUAUCCCUCAAAGAGCAAAAAUAACAAAAUGAACUUUGAUGUACACAAACACAUUCAAAUAAGCAAAUCAGAGCAAGGCAAUAUGCAUCAUACCUUCAGGAUGCCAAGCGGUCGAUUAGUAAUGCUAAAAUGAACCCAUCAGCAUACCUCCCACCUAAUUUUAUUGGCCCUAUCUCUUCUUUCUCAAGUCUGCACUCGUUCAACCAGUAAUCCAAUUAGUUAUACAUGCACACAAUAAUCAAUAGUUUCCCUUCUCCCUAUUUCUAAUUUGGAAAAAUCACUAUAUUUUUCCCCUAUUUGUAGUUUACACUGAAAUCUGAAACCAGUGUGUGGAAGUAUGUUUAAACACCCAGCCAAAAAUCUGAGAAAAGCAAAAUAAGAAUUUGAAUGCCCAAGGAAAAUUAAACUUGCUCUCUCUCCCUAUUCUCAGCCAUACAUGCACCAGACAACAUAUAUAUAUAUAUAUAUAUAUAUAUAUAUAUAUAUAUAUAUAUAUAUAUAUAUAUAUAUAUAUAUAUAUA